rnacentral:lncRNA from 1 species
UUAACAACUGAAGUUCCCACCAGACAAGCCUAUGGAGCCCUCCAAUAUUGGCAUCAGGCAUAGCUUGAUAAAAUAAGUCACUUUCCACAGCCUUGAUAAAACUCAGAGUGAAGUCACUGUCAUUUGACUUUGCACUCAUAUAGUCAGAAGCGAGAGAUCAGGGCAGAAACCACCAGACCAGAUGUCCUGACCCUAGAAUGAAAAAUUUCGCUGAGAAACCAGGUAAUGGCUGAUAGGGAUUGAAAGGGCGAGUAGAAGUCCCAAAAUUCAGCAUAAAUGAUGGAGCAAAUGAACAGACAUUCAGCCAGCUGACACUGAUGCCCACAUGCCAGAGAGCCUGAUGAGGACCUGGAUGGACAUCCCAACUCUUCUCAUCAUUUGCCUGAUCCUCUGCAUUGUCCUC